AACGUAGGUGGCAAGCGUUAUCCGGAUUUACUGGGCGUAAAGCGUGUGCAGGCGGAGCGAUAAGUGGUGUAUGAAAGCGCCCGGCUCAACCGGGCAGGGUUAUGCCAGACUGUCGUUCUAGAGGGCGAGAGAGGGGCAUGGAAUUCCGGGUGUAGUGGUGAAAUGCGUAGAGAUCGGGAGGAACAUCCGUGGCGAAGGCGGCCACCUGGGCCAACACUGACACUGAGGCACGAAAGCGUGGGGAGCAAACAGG
rnacentral:rRNA from 1 species